rnacentral:rRNA from 1 species
AUUCCAGCUCCAAUAGCGUAUACUAAUGUUGUUGCAGUUAAAAAGCUCGUAGUUGAAUUUCUGGUUGUCGACUUAUGGUCCUGCGCCUCGUGCGUUUUGGUACCGUUUUUGUCGACGCCUUCUUAGUCGUGAUUGCUUCUGGCAUUAGGUUGUCGGUUUUAGGAGCGGCUUCGUUUACUGUGAUAACAAAUAGAGUGUUCAAAGCAGACAUUACGUCUUGAAUGCUUCAGCAUGGAAUAAAAAGAUAGGACAGCGGUACUAUUUUAUUGGUAUGUAUACCGUAGUAAUGAUUAAUAGGGAUAGUUGGGGGUAUUCAUAUUUGAUUGUCAGAGGUGAAAUUCUUGGAUUUAUGAAAGAUGAACUUAUGCGAAAGCAUUUAUCAAGGAUGUUUUCAUCG